AACGGGAGGAGCAAGUGUUAUUCAUAAUAAUUGGGCGUAAAGCGCAUGUAGGUGGUAAAUAAAGUUUAAAUUUAAAAUCUCUGGAUAAAACUCCAGAAAAAAGUUAAAUACUGAUUAACUAGAGUUCAAUAAAAGGAUAGUGGAAUUUCUAGAGUAGAGUUAAAAUUCUUAGAUCCUAGAAAGGAAGACCAAAGGCUGAGGCAACUAUCUAAGUUG
rnacentral:rRNA from 1 species